UACGGAGGGGGCAAGCGUUGUUCGGAAUCAUUGGGCGUAAAGGGCGCGUAGGCGGCUGAUCAAGUCGGGUGUGAAAUCCCUCGGCUCAACCGAGGAACUGCAUUUGAUACUGGUCGGCUAGAGUCCGGGAGGGGAUGGUGGAAUUCCCAGUGUAGCGGUGAAAUGCGUAGAUAUUGGGAAGAACACCGGUGGCGAAAGCGCUCGACUGGAUCUCUACUGACGCUGAGGCGCGAAAGCUAGGGGAGCAAACGGG
rnacentral:rRNA from 1 species